UGGCAAAUUGGUUAAUAUUCCAAUACCAACAUUAGUGUGCGAUGGAAGGACGCUUAGGGCUAAGGGGGCUAGCGGAUGGAAGUGCUAGUCUAAGGUCGUAGGAGGUUAUACAGGCAAAUCCGUAUAACAAUACUCCGAGAACUGAAAGGCUUUUUGAAGUCUUCGGAUGGAUAGAAGAACCCCUGAUGCCGUCGAGCCAAGAAAAGUUUCUAAGUUUAGCUAAUGUUGCCCGUACCGUAAACCGACACAGGUGGGUGGGAUGAGUAUUCUAAGGCGCGUGGAAGAACUCUCUUUAAGGAACUCUGCAAAAUAGCACCGUAUCUUCGGUAUAAGGUGUGGUUAGCUUUGUAUUAGGAUUUACUCCGAAAGCAAGGAAACUUACAACAAAGAGUCCCUCCCGACUGUUUACCAAAAACACAGCACUCUGCUAACUCGUAAGAGGAUGUAUAGGGUGUGACGCCUGCCCGGUGCUCGAAGGUUAAUUGAUGGGGUUAGCAUUAGCGAAGCUCUUGAUCGAAGCCCGAGUAAACGGCGGCCGUAACUAUAACGGUCCUAAGGUAGCGAAAUUCCUUGUCGGUUAAAUACCGACCUGCAUGAAUGGCGUAACGAGAUGGGAGCUGUCUCAAAGAGGGAUCCAGUGAAAUUGUAGUGGAGGUGAAAAUUCCUCCUACCCGCGGCAAGACGGAAAGACCCCGUGGACCUUUACUACAGCUUGACACUGCUACUUGGAUAAGAAUGUGCAGGAUAGGUGGGAGGCUUUGAGUAUAUGACGCCAGUUGUAUAUGAGCCAUUGUUGAGAUACCACUCUUUCUUAUUUGGGUAGCUAACCAGCUUGAGUUAUCCUCAAGU
rnacentral:rRNA from 1 species